rnacentral:rRNA from 1 species
UACGUAGGGGGCUAGCGUUGUCCGGAAUCAUUGGGCGUAAAGAGCGUGUAGGCGGCCCGGUAAGUCCGCUGUGAAAGUCGGGGGCUCAACCCUCGAAAGCCGGUGGAUACUGUCGGGCUAGAGUUCGGAAGAGGCGAGUGGAAUUCCCGGUGUAGCGGUGAAAUGCGCAGAUAUCGGGAGGAACACCAAUGGCGAAGGCAGCUCGCUGGGACGUUACUGACGCUGAGACGCGAAAGCGUGGGGAGCAAACAGG